GAAGGUGCACAGGGGGAAAGGAGGAAAGAAGUCUUACAUUAGCACAUCUGAAUAUUUCAAGUUUGGGGGACUUAGGGUUAAGAUCUCCCAGAUGACACACAGAUCCAUUUCCUUCUCUUGCAUCAUGCAGCCUCUAAAGUAUAUGCUUUCACCUACAACAAGCGACUCCCUUUUUUCACUGCUUGAGAACAGAUGAUAUUUCAAAAGAGGCCUUCUGGAGCUGCAACCCACCUUUUCAAAAACCUUCCCUGAAAAGAAGACUGGAUGGAAACUGUCGGGUCCAACAAUGACUUCCUGAAGAAGGAUAAUAUAUAACCACCUCCUUCAAGGCAGCAGAACCACUCUCUCCCCCAAGGGGACUAACACCACUGUAUGGAUCUAAUCACCUCCCAAUUGUCCUUCCCAAAGCUAUGAGGGGAAUACAUUCCAAUAAAUAAAUGGCUAAAAACAAUGCUAACUAUAAUCCAGUAUAAAAUGCUGUUAUACUGAUGUUGUGUGUGUGUAGUCCCUUUGGGUUCAUACAGUACAUCUGUGGACAUGGAGGUGGUUUUGCAGUCCCAGCCUGGAAGCACAGAGUUCUAAUAGGACCGCUAGAAGUGCACUUCUGCAGUAAUUGUGGGUGUUAUUCUGUGAUGCCAAUCAUGGUUUUCUGUCAAGUUUCUAUAACAUGCAGCUAGUUCAGAGCCUGGCUAGCCUUGCUGUUACUAGAGUCAGUGUUUUUGUCCAAAGAGAAAGAUACAUUUGAAAACACAGUGUAAUUCAUUUUUUUCCAUUGAAAAAUGUCUACCUGUAGAAAACAUUGACUUCUAUACUACUAUCA